rnacentral:tRNA from 1 species
CGGGACGUGGCGCAGCUUGGCAGCGCGCAUCGUUCGGGACGAUGAGGUCGUCGGUUCAAAUCCGACCGUCCCGACCA